rnacentral:rRNA from 1 species
GACGAACGCUGGCGGCGUGCUUAACACAUGCAAGUCGAACGGAAAGGCCCUGCUUUUGUGGGGUGCUCGAGUGGCGACCGGGUGAGUAACACGUGAGUAACCUGCACUUGACUUUGGGAUAACUUCAGGCAACUGGGGCUCAUACCGGAUAGGAGCUCCUGCUGCAUGGUGGGGGCUGGAAAGUUUCGGCGGUUGGGGAUGGACUCGCGGCUUAUCAGCUUGGUGGUGGGGUAGUGGCUUACCAAGGCUUUGACGGGUAGCCGGCCUGGGAGGGUGACCGGCCACAUUGGGACGGAGAUACGGCCCAGACUCGUAUGGGAGGCAGGGGAGGGGAAGGUUGUACAAUGGGAGGAGGCCUGAUGCAGCAACGCCGCGUGCGGGAAGUCGGCCAUCGGGUUGGAAACCGCUUCCGCCUGGGACGAAGCGUGAGUGACGGUAACGGGUAAAGAAGCACCGGCUAACUACGUG